GACGAACGCUGGCGGCGUGCUUAACACAUGCAAGUCGAACGAAGAGCGAUGGAAGCUUUGCUUCUAUCAAUCUUAGUGGCGAACGGGUGAGUAACGCGUAAUCAACCUGCCCUUCAGAGGGGGACAACAGUUGGAAACGACUGCUAAUACCGCAUACGAUCUAACCUCGGCAUCGAGGAUAGAUGAAAGGUGGCCUCUAUUUAUAAGCUAUCACUGAAGGAGGGGAUUGCGUCUGAUUAGCUAGUUGGAGGGGUAACAGCCCACCAAGGCGAUGAUCAGUAGCCGGUCUGAGAGGAUGAACGGCCACAUUGGGACUGAGACACGGCCCAGACUCCUACGGGAGGCAGCAGUGGGGAAUCUUCCGCAAUGGACGAAAGUCUGACGGAGCAACGCCGCGUGAGUGAUGACGGCCUUCGGGUUGUAAAGCUCUGUUAAUCGGGACGAAAGGCCUUCUUGCGAAUAGUUAGAAGGAUUGACGGUACCGGAAUAGAAAGCCACGGCUAACUACGUGCCAGCAGCCGCGGUAAUACGUAGGUGGCAAGCGUUGUCCGGAAUUAUUGGGCGUAAAGCGCGCGCAGGCGGAUUGGUCAGUCUGUCUUAAAAGUUCGGGGCUUAACCCCGUGAUGGGAUGGAAACUGCCAAUCUAGAGUAUCGGAGAGGAAAGUGGAAUUCCUAGUGUAGCGGUGAAAUGCGUAGAUAUUAGGAAGAACACCAGUGGCGAAGGCGACUUUCUGGACGAAAACUGACGCUGAGGCGCGAAAGCCAGGGGAGCGAACGGGAUUAGAUACCCCGGUGGUCCUGGCCGU
rnacentral:rRNA from 1 species